AGUGAACGCUGGCGGUAGGCCUAACACAUGCAAGUCGAACGGCAGCACAGUAAGAGCUUGCUCUUACGGGUGGCGAGUGGCGGACGGGUGAGGAAUACAUCGGAAUCUACUUUUUCGUGGGGGAUAACGUAGGGAAACUUACGCUAAUACCGCAUACGCCCUACGGGUGAAAGCAGGGGAUCUUCGGACCUUGCGCGAUUGAAUGAGCCGAUGUCGGAUUAGCUAGUUGGCGGGGUAAAGGCCCACCAAGGCGACGCUCCGUAGCUGGUAUGAGAGGAUGAUCAGCCACACUGGAACUGAGACACGGUCCAGACUCCUACGGGAGGCAGCAGUGGGGAAUAUUGGACAAUGGGCGCAAGCCUGAUCCAGCCAUACCGCGUGGGUGAAGAAGGCCUUCGGGUUGUAAAGCCCUUUUGUUGGGAAAGAAAAGCAGCAGGUUAAUACCCCGCUGUUCUGACGGUACCCAAAGAAUAAGCACCGGCUAACUUCGUG
rnacentral:rRNA from 1 species